UACGAAGGGUGCAAUCGUUGCUCGGAAUUAUUGGGCGUAAAGAGCGCGUAGGCGGUCCGAUAAGUCGGCUGUGAAAGUCAGGGGCUCAACCCUUGAAAGCCGGCCGAUACUGUCGGACUAGAGUCCGGAAGAGGCAAGUGGAAUUCCUGGUGUAGCGGUGAAAUGCGCAGAUAUCAGGAGGAACACCAAUUGCGAAGGCAGCUCGCUGGGACGUAACUGACGCUGAGACGCGAAAGCGUGGGGAGCAAACAGG
rnacentral:rRNA from 1 species